AAUAUAUCACCCGAGAACAUAAAAAGGAAGACUAUAAAUAGGCUUUCUAGGAAGAGUAGAAUUUUUGUACAAAAUCGUAUAAAAAAGCUAAUGAUAAAAAGGUAAUUUUCAAGCACUGUGUGAUAACAUUAAAGGAAAAUAAGGGAAUAAUUCUAUUUCAGUUGUUGAGAAGCUUGUGAAACCCCAUAAUAUCAAUAAUAUGAUAACAUUCAUGGCUAGUCAUUUCAAAAAUUAUACUCAUGCUCCUAAC
rnacentral:lncRNA from 1 species